UGGGGAAUUUUGGACAAUGGGGGCAACCCUGAUCCAGCAAUGCCGCGUGUGUGAAGAAGGCCUUCGGGUUGUAAAGCACUUUUGUCCGGAAAGAAAACUUCGGGGCUAAUACCCCUGGAGGAUGACGGUACCGGAAGAAUAAGCACCGGCUAACUACGUGCCAGCAGCCGCGGUAAUACGUAGGGUGCGAGCGUUAAUCGGAAUUACUGGGCGUAAAGCGUGCGCAGGCGGUGCUGUAAGACCGAUGUGAAAUCCCCGGGCUUAACCUGGGAACUGCAUUGGUGACUGCAGCGCUGGAGUAUGGCAGAGGGGGGUGGAAUUCCACGUGUAGCAGUGAAAUGCGUAGAGAUGUGGAGGAACUCCGAUGGAGAAGGCAGCCCCCUGGGCCAAUACUGACGCUCAUGCACGAAAGCGUGGGGAGCAAACAGG
rnacentral:rRNA from 1 species